rnacentral:rRNA from 1 species
UACGGAGGGUGCCAAGCGUUGUUCGGAUUCACUGGGCAUAAAGGGCGCGUAGGCGGUGCCGCAAGCGGCGUGUGAAAUUCCGGGGCUCAACCCCGGAACGGCGCGCUGGACUGCGGUGCUCGAGUGUGGGAGGGGGGUGCGGAACUCUAGGUGGAGCGGUGAAAUGCGUAGAUAUCUAGAGGAACACCGGUGGCGAAAGCGACACCCUGGCCCGCAACUGACGCUGAGGCGCGAAAGCGUGGGUAGCAAACAGGAUUAG